UACGUAGGGGCAAGCGUUGUCCGGAUUUAUUGGGCGUAAAGAGCGUGUAGGCGGCCAGGUAGGUCGGUUGUGAAAACUAGAGGCUCAACCUCUAGACGUCGACCGAAACCAUCUGGCUAGAGUCCGGAAGAGGAGAGUGGAAUUCCUGGUGUAGCGGUGAAAUGCGCAGAUAUCAGGAAGAACACCCGUGGCGAAAGCGGCUCUCUGGAACGGUACUGACGCUGAGACGCGAAAGCGUGGGGAGCGAACAGG
rnacentral:rRNA from 1 species